AUUAUCAUAGGAAUUGAUUUUUUGUAAAUAUUGUUUGUUACUACAGUGCACUUUUGCAGGCUUUGAUUUUUUGUAAAUAUUCUUUGACAUAAGUGACCCAGUGAAUACUCGAUUAUUGUUUUCACUCUAAUCCUCACAGUUGUCUUAUAGCAAAACCGACUUCGAGACGACCAUAAUUAAAAACAAGUUUCACGAUGUAAUUCAGAUCAAUACAAUCAUUAUUUUGUCGUUAUCCUUGGCAUUGAUUUAUUGUAAAUAUUCUACAAAACCACAGUGCAGUUUAAAAUGGGUGCGCAAGUUUUUUAUCUUCUUCAUUGCAAUACUUGAAGAAUAAAUGAAGUUUAGAGAAAAGCAGGUUUCUGGAAAUCCACGCAAAUUCGAAAUAUUUUCGAAGUUACAGAAGAAAUAGUGAGCAAGCGUCGAGCAGGUAUACGAGCGGUGUUUUGAAGUUUUCAACCAGUUUUUUGAAGAGUCUGCACCAGUUUUUUGAAGUUUUGAACCAGUUUCUUGAAGAGUCUGAAGGGCAACUCUAUGGACCAGGAAUCGCUGAUUAGCAUAUUAAUGCGAUGGAUAUUGCGACCUUUCCCACCGCACGACAAAUGCACACUCGAGACGCCUCGGUGAAAUGCUUGUACCAGGCAUAAUAUGACAUAUAUCUUAACGAAAAAAUUUAAGAAGACUGCUGAAAUAUACAACAAUAAAACCUGAAAGUUUCGUUUCAAUCGGAUAUUUCUU